rnacentral:rRNA from 1 species
CCAGACUCCUACGGGAGGCAGCAGUGGGGAAUAUUGCACAAUGGGGGAAACCCUGAUGCAGCGACGCCGCGUGAGCGAUGAAGUAUUUCGGUAUGUAAAGCUCUAUCAGCAGGGAAGAAGAUGACGGUACCUGACUAAGAAGCCCCGGCUAACUACGUGCCAGCAGCCGCGGUAAUACGUAGGGGGCAAGCGUUAUCCGGAAUUACUGGGUGUAAAGGGAGCGCAGACGGCAGUGCAAGUCUGGAGGGAAAGCCCGUGGCUUAACUACGGGACUGCUCUGGAAACUGUGCAGCUAGAGUGCAGGAGAGGCAGGCGGAAUUCCUAGUGUAGCGGUGAAAUGCGUAGAUAUUAGGAGGAACACCGGUGGCGAAGGCGACCUGCUAGAACAUAACUGACGCUGAUGCGCGAAAGCGUGGGGAGCAAACAGGAUUAGAUACCCCUGUAAA